rnacentral:rRNA from 1 species
AUGCACGCUAGCUACAGGCUUCACCCCUGCCAGUCGAGGGGAAACGGCAUUGAGUGCUUGCACUCUUUGGACGUCGACCGGCGCACGGGUGAGUAACGCGUAUCCAACCUUCCCAUUACUGUGGGAUAACCUGCCGAAAGGCAGACUAAUACCGCAUAGUCUUCGAUGACGGCAUCAGAUUUGAAGUAAAGAUUUAUCGGUAAUGGAUGGGGAUGCGUCUGAUUAGCUUGUUGGCGGGGUAACGGCCCACCAAGGCUACGAUCAGUAGGGGUUCUGAGAGGAAGGUCCCCCACAUUGGAACUGAGACACGGUCCAAACUCCUACGGGAGGCAGCAGUGAGGAAUAUUGGUCAAUGGACGGAAGUCUGAACCAGCCAAGUAGCGUGCAGGAUGACGGCCCUAUGGGUUGUAAACUGCUUUUGUAUGGGGAUAAAGUUAGGGACGUGUCCCUAUUUGCAGGUACCAUACGAAUAAGGACCGGCUAAUUCCGUG